rnacentral:lncRNA from 1 species
AAAAGGGGAUUUUCUCUCCUAACCUCCAGGAGCAAGUCGCCGGACAAUUGCAAUGAGUAAAAAAGAACUCCAGUUGACCAAAAUUGGAGAGGGACGAAACCCAAAUUCUCAUUUCAAUCACUAGUUUGUGGGUCUUCAUUGAAAGCAUGAUAUGGCCAAAUUUGGUUUAUUUGGGCUGCUUCUUCCGUUGGAUUGCAGUGGAGGUUUUGUUUUUCCAAAUUUGUUGGAAGUCGAAUUGGGAGAGUGAAAAGGCAACAUGGGGCUGGCUGCAGCAAAGAGAUCUGAGGCAGAAGUGAUGUUGAUAGAUGAAGAAAUUAAUGGGUGUUUUAAUGUACAAAGUGGCUGGUGAAGAGUUCAAUUUCAGUAACAAUUUCGAUUAUGUUUUGAAACUAAUCUCAUUUUGCUAGAGCUACGAUGUAGUCUAACCAUGAUUGUUUAAUUCCUAAAUUUUGUUAUUUCUAUUUUCAUUCGUCUUGAGCUUCUUUUGCUGUGUAUUAUACGCCUGAUUUUUAUCUUGUUGAUUAGCUACCAACUUUGUUUGGUCAAGUUUAUCUGAUACAAAUUUAAGUAUAUGCUAAAUUUGAAUUCAAGCUUCUUGCAAUUGAAGCCAUGAACUCCUUGGUAGAAAUGACAUACAUGAGGUUUCAUGCGGUCCCUAGUUAGUUCCCAAUCUUAAUGAAUCUUUUUAUGUUUAGUAAUCUAGAUGCCAUAUUGAUUCACCUGAGAGGCCACAAUUACCGCAGGCAAACAUAUUAAUGACAAGGAUUGUAUUUUUGCUAUGUUACUAAUACUUGUACUUGCUCUACUAUAAAUUGUUAGCACAUAAGAUAUACGUAGUAAUCUAGAUGCCAUGGAUAUUGUAUGAAUUAGAAAAACUAGUCCGUCAAUUUGGAUGGUUGUUCAUUAGUAAUUUAAUUUUGGAAAUAAAUUGGAUUGGAUAUGGUGAAAUCAAAUGCUCUAGUGACUCACUCAUUUCAUUUACAAUUUGUUUCUACUCCAUUGCAUCUCUAUACCUUUACUUUUAAUUGUCUUGUUAUAGUUCGUUGUUUUGAAAUUAAGAAAUAAACCUUUACAAAUAUUUCUUAUAAACAACGUUACUUUUAUUUCAAGUGCAAUUCAAAUUAAGUUAGAUAGUUAGAAUUAUAUCAAUCUCAGUUGGAACGAUCUUGUGCUUGCCAACUAUAUUAUACUGCAGUUCGUAUGCUUGCAAGCAUUCAAGUUUGGACUUAAUUGGGUUGGUUUUCGUUAAUCUAAUUUUGGCAACACUUCAGUUAUUGGGUUUGACUAUUCGAAGCUCAUUGAGUCUUAAGGCCUAAAACUAACCCGAGGUCUAAAAUGGACCUAUUCGUAAUUGACAUAUUAAAUCAUCCUAGUGAUAAGAGCAUAUUUAUACGACUUUGUUAUCCUAUUUCUUUGCAUUUACUUAGUUAAUUUCCAUUUAUUAUAGUAAUUUAAGUUAUUUUCGUAUUAUUGUAGGUCCAGUUGGUAAAGAGGACAAUAAAUAGUCAAAUGGAGCAAUUUGGAGCAGUUUUGGACUUGGAUUGGAUAGCAGGCGUGGUAGCAUAUGGGCUGGACGUUUUGGUGUUUAAAAGGUGUUGAACAUGCGCUAAAAUCUGAAGAAAUUAAAGUUGAGGCUUGGAAGGCAAGGAAUUACAUGAUAGGAGCAUAUUUAUGUGACUUAGUUAGCUUGUUUUUUUGCAUUUAUGUUGUUAGUUCUUAUUUAUUAUAGUGUUUUGAGCUAUUUUCGUGUGUGUGUAGGUCUAAUUGGCAAAGUUGGCAAGAAAGUGUAUUUUGAAGCAUUUCGGAGCAGUUUUGAGCAUCAAAUGGAUAGCAUACGUGGGGAGCAUUUUGGAUGGACGUUUUUGAAGUUCAAAAGGCUAGGAAUAUGCUAAGGAGAUGAAGAAAAUAAAUUCAAGUGUUGGAAGAUAAGGAAUCAGCUCAAAAGAAGGAACAUUAUCCAAAACCUUAUCCAACCUUAUCUUAUCCAAACCAACCUUCUCUUAUCUUAUCCUAUCCUAAUCUCAUCAUACCUUAAAUCUAGCUACAAUGGGACCUAAAUAUCUAUUUCUAGAAGCCAAUUCUAGAAGCAUUCCCUUCUAGAAGUCUUAAUUUUUGCCACAAAACACAUUUUUCUAGAAACCCUACAAAAGUGGCGCCUAUUCCCUUCUAGAAGGCUUUUGCCUUGCCUUGCACUCAACUCCCUUUCUCCCCUAUUUGUACCACACCUUUCCUCACCCAAUUCCCUUUGGUUUCUGAUUUAAUUAGCCUUUUCCUUAUGGAUUUGGGUUAUGCAAAUCCUUUUCAGCAAUUAAUUAGGCCAAACCUUUUUCCUGGUGGACUUAUACAUGUGUACCGCACCCUAGGGCCUAAUUAUCUAUUUAUGCUGAUUUCUAGCCCUAGUCUGAUUCCCCCUAGGGUUUUGAUGUGAAUAUUAAGUUGACACACAAAUUAAACCCUAUUGAUGACAAUUGUAGUAAUGAUGCAAGUAGGGAUCGUUUUAGACCGGGGAUUAACUAGGGAUGCUAAUAAACACAAAUAAGACUCAAAAACACAAAACUAGAUUUUAUAGACUCAAAACUAACUCAAAACACUCAAAACAGCAAAUAACAAUAAAAAAGACUCAAUUCUAGACCUAGAAAGUGAUUUAGACGAAAAUAGAACUUCAAAGACUCAAAAGACUUAAAAGAAACAAAUUUUGAUUCUAAAAACAAGACUUAAAAGUAAGGGGGUUGAUUUUGACAAAAUUGGACUUUAAAACAUAAACUUAAAAAACAAACUUAACAAAAACGAUUUUGGAUGAAAAAGAAUGGUGAAAGGCUAGUUAGAGGGUUCCUUCUCCACACAUGAAACAUAUGCAUACGACUCGAUUUCCAGUUACUCUUUCAACAAACCAUGAAUGACAAUGCCCCAAAUUAACUGGAUUGCACCAAUUAAUUCUCAGAUUUCCCUAGAUUCAUUGAAUUGAAUAGAAUACGCAUUACAACCAAAUUAUUCUUAUCAAGGACCCUAACUAUGGAAUACGCAUGAUAGAGACACAUAUCAAAGAUCAUUAAGUUCAAUGGAAAUCAUAAGCAUUGACAAGGCAUUCAUAACUAUGGAAUAC